GCUCAUCGCAUCCUGGGGCUGUAGCAGGUCCCAAGGGUUGGGCUGUUCGCCCAUUAAAGCGGUACGCGAGCUGGGUUCAGAACGUCGUGAGACAGUUCGGUCCCUAUCCGGCGCAGGCGUAGGAUAUCUGAGAGGAGCUGUCCUUAGUACGAGAGGACCGGGAUGGACGGACCGCCGGUGUACCUGUUGGGUACCAGACCCAUGGCAGGGUAGCCGAGUCCGGCAGGGAUAAGCGCUGAAGGCAUCUAAGCGCGAAGCCCCCCUCAAGAUGAGAUAUCCCAUUCGAAUGAAGUAAGACCCCUUGAAGACUACGAGGUAGAUAGGUCCGGGGUGCAGGCGCAGCAAUGCGUACAGCUGACGGAUACUAAUAGGUCGAGGGCUUAACCUAA
rnacentral:rRNA from 1 species